rnacentral:lncRNA from 10 species
CUCAUAUUUCAUUUUGCCUACCUCUUUUUUUUUUUGACCCUUCUACCUGACUAUCCUGACCUUCCUUGGUGUGUUCCCAUCAAAAUGUCCCUAGCCUAUGUUUGCCCAAUGAAACUGUGCACACAUUUAACCUUGGACUUUCCGUAAUGUGUUAACAUUGUUUUGUAAAUACCCCAAGACUCACUUGGGGCAUUAUGACUCACUAACUUUUGUCUUGAAGGAGGACGGAUUGAACAUGCUUACUGUAGAAAAGGUGACAAGUCUUACUAAAAAGAGAAAAUAAAAACCAAGUCAUGGAUGUACUAGAAAAUCUGUUGUUUAUAGAAGACAAGCAGUUCAGUAGGGAACUUUUGAACUCAUUCACUGAAAAGAGUGAAAACUGAGUGGAGAAAAAUAAUGUAAAAGAAUUUUGAGGGGCUAGAUUCUUCAAAUUUGACAUUUCAGAAAAUCAUAGAGAAAACACUUUCCUAAAAGAGUCAAACAAAAAAUAAUCACUCAGGAAACUAUUUCAUCGAUCUUGGCAAAGUAUAGUGAUUAAAAUGCUUCAUAAUUGUUGAAGACAAAAGCAAGUGAGUAAAACGAAAGCAGGAUGAGCAAAGGUCUGAGACCUAAAUGAAUAUAAGAAUCAGAAGUCACAAGUUUAGAAGCCAAGAUUAUCUGAAAAGUACUGCGCACCCUAGUCAAUACAACACAACACAGAAAUAACAAUAAUGAUGAAGUUAUAGCUACUAGGGAAGUAAUUCAUAUAAAUGUUAUAAGAUUAUGAUCCACUAAAUAUUAAGUGACAAUUGUGAAAUGAAUGUACUCAUUGAAGUAGUUAGAGGAUUUAAUGAAAGUGCCUGAAUGUCAAUAAUAGAUAUGAAGUUAAUCUAAUACUUUAGAACAUUUUUCAAUUUAUACCAGGAAUAACACAAAUAUUUAAAAUAUGUAAAUGUAACUUCAUAUUCAUAUGUAAAUACUGAUUUAGAAAAAAUAAUAAAUAGAAAUGCCAAAUAUUAUAAUGGAUAUUAAAUUAUGCAUUUAUAUAAUUUAUAUAUAAAUGAAAUAAAGUCAUAUUUAAUCUGGCAUAAAUUAAGACUAGCCGGGGGAUUUAAAAAUGCGAGUAAAAUUUUGAACAU